UGGGGAAUAUUGGUACCUCUGGGGGCAACCCUGAAUCCAGCAACGCUGCGUGGGGGAUGAAGGUCUUCGGAUUGUAAACCCCUGUUGGGAGGGACGAAGGCUCGAGGAUUAAUCACUCACGCGCUUGACGGUACCUCAAGAGAAAGCACCGGCUAACUACGUGC
rnacentral:rRNA from 1 species